UUCUCUCUCCAGGGCACAUCUUCCGGCCCGCUCGCCCUCUGCUAGAAAUAGGAAAAUGCUAUAAUAACACAACACAAGAAAAAAAAAACACAGAGGCAACUUUGAUCACGCAUGCUCCCUUGGCGUCCAGCUCUUUUUUCCCCCACCACAUCAUUUCUCCUAAGUUGGAAAGUCAAGGAAAAGCCCGAGCGAAGUGUUGGCCACAGUUAAACCAAUCAUUCGGGGAAAGCCAUCUCAUAUUUAAAAUGCCUGUGGUAUCAAGGUGAAGGGAUCGGCUGGCAGAGAUGUAAGUGUGUGACGCGUUUCUGCAUGAAGAGAGACUGGAAGAGAAGAGGAGGAAGUGAUCGACAGACAGAGCUCAGUCCAGCUGGACACAACAAGAUAGCCUUUAAGAACGCCUUUGACUGAAGAAGAACAUAUCGAACUCGUUCUCAUGGCUCAAGCUGGAAGCAGUCGCCAGGUCGCGGUAGACUUGAACAGGAAACAUGGCGAGCACAUCACAGCACACACGACACCGUCGGCAAACGGAGUCAACGUUGCGAGAGACGACUCCUCGUGUGUUUCGAAAGUGUUCGUUUCCCCUGUGUGUGGAGACUUUGGGACACCCUUUAGUACAGUUAGUCUCGAGAUAUAGUUGUUUCAAGCUGUGAGUACAAAGUUAAAAUAAACAAAUAAAUAAAUAAAUGAAUAAAUAACAAAAUUUUAAACCCACUAAGAAAUCCUGAACCGCUAAGAUUUAGUUGAACAUAAUUGAUGUAUAACGUAUAAGCGCGUAUGUUUGUUGUAGGUUUACAACUCAUCAGUUUUGUGGGUCGGAAACACUCUUCAGCUUUUUCAGCAGCAGUACAAUACGGGAUGUGCUAUUAUAGGAAAAUAAUCAAUGACAGGACACGCUAUUAUAGGAAAAUAAUCAAUUACGGGGCAUGCUAGUAUACUGUAGGAAAAUAGUCAAUGACAGGGUGGUGUAUUGUGGCACGAUGUGAAGUGGAGUUACUAUUACCACCCCAAAGUUCCAGUAACAGCAUGCCCAAGUGUUUUUAUUCCUCUUACACCACAACAAUGACAUUUUUUAAAUAUUAAUUAAAGAACAAUAUGUCGUACUCUCUAUCCAUUUAUGGUCGCAUUUAAUAUUAUUGAAUGUCCGUGAAAGAAAUUAAUUCUUGUCAUCAGUAACAUUGUUUCAGGUAUAACAAGUCAUCCCCUCACAAGCCUCUGUUUUUUUAUUUAUUUUUAUUUUCUUCUCUUGAAUUUAAUAAGCAAAAAGUGCUGACAGGAGACCCCUUCCAGAAUGUAAAUUAAACAUCUCCUUCCAGUCACCAUAUCGACAUCUACACACGCUUUAAAAAAAUAAAUAAAAAUAAAUCAGUUAAUAAUGUAUUAGAACUAGUGUAUUAAUAUAAACCUUGCACCCGGAACCACUAAAGAAAAUGAACUGACACCUUCUGACCAAUCAGAAUCGAGCAUUCAGCGGUGUCGUUUUAUAAAGCUGGAAUAACGUCUUCUAUGUUCGUGACCCGUUGUAUUGUAUGUAAGGCUGUUUUGAAUGCGCAGCAUACGGUUAAUAACGGUGACAUUAACUUACUGUCAUAACGUGAGCUUGAAGUGAACGUUCGUAGUAGUUCUGAGUGAUUGACAGGUGUUGUUUGCUUUACAUUACGUUUCGCCGUUUGUUAUUCAAAUGAAUUCAGCCAGACUAUUUCAGAUGCAGGUUAUAUAUCGACUCAGCUAUUAAAAACGAAAUAUAAUAUUUUCUACUGUGCUGCCCAGUAAAACGCUAUUAAUAUCGACUCUAUUGCGUCGAUUAUAUUAAAAUGUUUAUUUUCUCGUCACGGGAAGUUACGUAUU